GGCCAUGAUGCAAGAGAAAGAUGGAAAAUGAUCUUGAGAGUGGAGAAGGGUUGGAUUGAACUGAAAUCAAGGAGGAGAAGUCAGUUUUCGAGAGGUUUCCCACAGAUUUGAUGGCUAGGAUUUGGAAAUUUAGGAAAAACUAAAAAUGAGCCGUGAGAACCAAAGAUUUGAGAAAAAUGAGUUGUGGUUUGGAGGGAUUUUGAGAUUUUUGGAAGAGCAAGGAUGUGGAUUCUUGAUUGGGACAAG
rnacentral:lncRNA from 1 species